rnacentral:rRNA from 1 species
GCUGCAUGGCUGUCGUCAGCUCGUGUCGUGAGAUGUUGGGUUAAGUCCCGCAACGAGCGCAACCCCGUCCUUAGUUGCUACCAUUUAGUUGAGCACUCUAAGGAGACUGCCGGUGAUAAGCCGCGAGGAAGGUGGGGAUGACGUCAAGUCCUCAUGGCCCUUACGGGCUGGGCUACACACGUGCUACAAUGGCGGUGACAAUGGGAUGCAAAAGGGCAACCUCUAGCAAAUCUCAAAAAGCCGUCUCAGUUCGGAUUGGGCUCUGCAACUCGAGCCCAUGAAGUUGGAAUCGCUAGUAAUCGUGGAUCAGCAUGCCACGGUGAAUACGUUCCCGGGCCUUGUACACACCGCCCGUCACACCAUGGGAGUUGGUUUUACCUGAAGGCGGUGCGCUAACCCGCAAGGGAGGCAGCCGACCACGGUAGGGUCAGCGACUGGGGUGAAGUCGUAACAAGGUAGCCGUAGGGGAACCUGCGGCUGGAUCACCUCCUUUCUG